AGAGUUUGAUCAUGGCUCAGAUUGAACGCUGGCGGCACGCUUAACACAUGCAAGUCGAACGGCAGCAUGAUAGGAGCUUGCUCUUAUUGAUGGCGAGUGGCGAACGGGUGAGUAACGCGUAGGAAUAUACCUUAAAGUGGGGGAUAACUCGGGGAAACUCGAGCUAAUACCGCGUAAGCUCUACGGAGUAAAGCUGGGGACCUUUUGGCCUGGCGCUUUAAGCAUAGCCUGCGUCUGAUUAGCUAGUUGGUGGGGUAAAGGCCUACCAAGGCGAUGAUCGGUAGCUGGUCUGAGAGGAUGGACAGCCACACUGGGACUGAGACACGGCCCAGACUCCUACGGGAGGCAGCAGUGGGGAAUAUUGGACAAUGGGGGGAACCCUGAUCCAGCGAUGCCGCGUGUGUGAAGAAGGCCCGAGGGUUGUAAAGCACUUUUAGUGGGGAGGAAGGUGACUAGGUUAAGAGCUAGGUUACGUGACGUUACCCACCAUAAACAGCACCGGCUAACUCCGUGCCAGCAGCCGCGGUAAU
rnacentral:rRNA from 1 species